UGCGUAGGCUGCGCGGAAAGUUGGGUGUGAAAUCCCUCGGCUCAACCGAGGAACUGCGCCCAAAACUACCGUGCUUGAGGAAGAUAGAGGUGAGCGGAACUCACGGUGGAGCGGUGAAAUGCGUUGAUAUCGUAAGGAACACCCGUGGCGAAAGCGGCUCACUGGGUCUUCUCUGACGCUGAUGCACGAAAGCUAGGGGAGCAAACG
rnacentral:rRNA from 1 species